rnacentral:rRNA from 1 species
CCUACGGGGGGCAGCAGUGGGGAAUAUUGCGCAAUGGGGGAAACCCUGACGCAGCAACGCCGCGUGCGGGAUGAAGGCCUUCGGGUUGUAAACCGCUUUCAGCAGGGAAGAUCCAAGACGGUACCUGCAGAAGAAGCCCCGGCUAACUACGUGCCAGCAGCCGCGGUAAUACGCAGGGGGCAAGCGUUAUCCGGAUUUACUGGGUGUAAAGGGUGCGUAGGUGGCAGGGCACGUCAGAUGUGAAAGCCCG